AGUGAACGCUGGCGGUAGGCCUAACACAUGCAAGUCGAACGGCAGCACAGUAAGAGCUUGCUCUUACGGGUGGCGAGUGGCGGACGGGUGAGGAAUACAUCGGAAUCUACUUUUUCGUGGGGGAUAACGUAGGGAAACUUACGCUAAUACCGCAUACGACCUACGGGUGAAAGCAGGGGAUCUUCGGACCUUGCGCGAUUGAAUGAGCCGAUGUCGGAUUAGCUAGUUGGCGGGGUAAGGGCCCACCAAGGCGACGAUCCGUAGCUGGUCUGAGAGGAUGAUCAGCCACACUGGAACUGAGACACGGUCCAGACUCCUACGGGAGGCAGCAGUGGGGAAUAUUGGACAAUGGGCGCAAGCCUGAUCCAGCCAUACCGCGUGGGUGAAGAAGGCCUUCGGGUUGUAAAGCCCUUUUGUUGGGAAAGAAAAGCGGCAGGUUAAUACCCCGCUGUUCUGACGGUACCCAAAGAAUAAGCACCGGCUAACUUCGUG
rnacentral:rRNA from 1 species